UACAGAGGUCUCAACCGUUGUUCGGAUUCAUUGGGCGUAAAGGGUGCGUAGGCGGUCGCGCAAGUCGGAUGUGAAAUCUUAGGGCUCAACCCUGAAACUGCAUUCGAUACUGCGUGGCUCGAGUACUGGAGAGGAGACUGGAAUUUACGGUGUAGCAGUGAGAUGCGUAGAUAUCGUAAGGAAGACCAGUGGCGAAGGCGAGUCUCUGGACAGUUACUGACGCUGAGGCACGAAGGCCAGGGGAGCAAACGGG
rnacentral:rRNA from 1 species